GCUUAACACAUGCAAGUCGAACGAUGACUCUCUAGCUUGCUAGAGAAGAUUAGUGGCGGACGGGUGAGUAACAUUUAGGAAUCUGCCUAGUAGUGGGGGAUAGCUCGGGGAAACUCGAAUUAAUACCGCAUACGACCUACGGGUGAAAGGGGGCGCAAGCUCUUGCUAUUAGAUGAGCCUAAAUCAGAUUAGCUAGUUGGUGGGGUAAAGGCCCACCAAGGCGACGAUCUGUAACUGGUCUGAGAGGAUGAUCAGUCACACCGGAACUGAGACACGGUCCGGACUCCUACGGGAGGCAGCAGUGGGGAAUAUUGGACAAUGGGGGCAACCCUGAUCCAGCCAUGCCGCGUGUGUGAAGAAGGCCUUUUGGUUGUAAAGCACUUUAAGCAGGGAGGAGAGGCUAAUGGUUAAUACCCAUUAGAUUAGACGUUACCUGCAGAAUAAGCACCGGCUAACUCUGUGCCAGCAGCCGCGGUAAUACAGAGGGUGCGAGCGUUAAUCGGAAUUACUGGGCGUAAAGCGAGUGUAGGUGGCUCAUUAAGUCACAUGUGAAAUCCCCGGGCUUAACCUGGGAACUGCAUGUGAUACUGGUGGUGCUAGAAUAUGUGAGAGGGAAGUAGAAUUCCAGGUGUAGCGGUGAAAUGCGUAGAGAUCUGGAGGAAUACCGAUGGCGAAGGCAGCUUCCUGGCAUAAUAUUGACACUGAGAUUCGAAAGCGUGGGUAGCAAACAGGAUUAGAUACCCUGGUAGUCCACGCCGUAAACGAUGUCUACUAGCCGUUGGGGUCCUUGAGACUUUAGUGGCGCAGUUAACGCGAUAAGUAGACCGCCUGGGGAGUACGGCCGCAAGGUUAAAACUCAAAUGAAUUGACGGGGGCCCGCACAAGCGGUGGAGCAUGUGGUUUAAUUCGAUGCAACGCGAAGAACCUUACCUGGUCUUGACAUAGUGAGAAUCCUGCAGAGAUGCGGGAGUGCCUUCGGGAAUUCACAUACAGGUGCUGCAUGGCUGUCGUCAGCUCGUGUCGUGAGAUGUUGGGUUAAGUCCCGCAACGAGCGCAACCCUUUUCCUUAUUUGCCAGCGGGUUAAGCCGGGAACUUUAAGGAUACUGCCAGUGACAAACUGGAGGAAGGCGGGGACGACGUCAAGUCAUCAUGGCCCUUACGACCAGGGCUACACACGUGCUACAAUGGUAGGUACAGAGGGUUGCUACACAGCGAUGUGAUGCUAAUCUCAAAAAGCCUAUCGUAGUCCGGAUUGGAGUCUGCAACUCGACUCCAUGAAGUCGGAAUCGCUAGUAAUCGCAGAUCAGAAUGCUGCGGUGAAUACGUUCCCGGGCCUUGUACACACCGCCCGUCACACCAUGGGAGUCUAUUGCACCAGAAGUAGGUAGCCUAACGUAAGAGGGCGCUUACCAC
rnacentral:rRNA from 1 species